CUGCUGCGGGCCGACUGGAGGACCAUAGUCACUCCUGGGGGGAACCCCGCCGUCAGUCCGUGUUGGGGAAAUACCUGUCUGCUGGGUGUGGCUGGGAUGCAGACGGUACCGCACCGCACUUCCUGGGAGUAGGUUACCUAGAAAAUUACGCGGAAUAAAAAGAUGAGGGUUAAUGCUGCCAGAAAGAUUUUCCCAUGCGUUGGGUUUUAUCAUGGGGGUUAUUGUAAUAACUAGCAUGUUCCAACUUCCUGCACAUCAUUCUUGACGUAAUGCCCCAGUAACUCAGCCGAGGCACAUCUCCCCUCUCCAGCAGGUGCGAUGGGGCAGGCUGGGGACGGAGCACAGUGUCACGGCUGGCAGGCCAGAGCUGGGUCUCCCACCGGAUAGGAGAUAAUCAGCCCAGGAAAGACGUACGUGGCAGAUAGCAUCCUCCUGUGCAGGCCCACACCGUCACCCAGAGGCUACAGAACACUUUAAAGGCUGAAAUAUUCAAAUGAGGAAGUAAAGAGUAGAAAAAUUGGUUUGAAGAAUCCAAUCAGAUUGCAAGAUGUUUGUAAUUGGGAAAAUGGUGAGACGGCUGGAGGAGCUCCAUGCUGCCCACCUGGGGCACAGCCAUUCAGGAAGGAGAAGAGUCUAUGCCCGUGGUGAUCCUCCUGGAAGCAGCGACGAGGGAAGAUGCCCCUGGGCCUGGAGAAUUAUCUCCCAGGGUACUCAGGGGGGACGCGGAAGGACAAUCGUGCCACGCUUAUUGCACCAGGAAUGAUAAAUGCCCAUGAGGAAAUGAAGCCGAAGAUUCAUUUCUACAAAAACAAAAGCCAUCGGCCACUUCGCCUCUUACAUGCUGAAGCAUAUGGGACAACAUGAGGUACUGUUAGUGACAUCAUACUGGCCUCGUGGUCACAGCCAGGACAGGGCAGCCCUGGCCCCGGCCGUGCCUCCUGCAUGGGCGGGGGUGCACGGGUGGCUCUCUGGUCGCAGCGUCGGACCCUCUGGGGGCCAAGAGUCCGCGUUGUGAACAAGCCCCCGGGUGGCUCUGGCGGCUCACUGAGGCGCCAGGGCCCCCUGGCCCCCCGCUGUGCCGACUCCAGGGCGAGGGCCCCAUUUUUCCCACUUCCAACUGCCAUCUGUUCAGGUUCAGGCAAGGAAUAGGAACAAAACGGUUUUGAGUGACUUCAGUACAUAGUUCACAUCUGCUGUCGUCUUUCCUGGAUGGGGCCUGUUGAUUCCCGCUCCCAGCGGGUGGAUUUGUUCUCUGAGCUUUCAUAACCCGCGGGAAGUUCAGGCCAGGGGUCACCGCGGUCGUUUCCCCCAUUCCUGCAGGCCUGGGUCACCCACGUGCCCGGAGGCAGAAUGUCUGGGCCCCAGGGCCUGCCAGCAGGCACCCCAUGAGCUUCCUGCGCCCCUCUUCCAUCAGAAGCCCAGAUGAGGGGGGCAGUACCAACAGGGGCCACUUGAAAGGCGUGCAGCCUGUCACCUCCCAGACAGUCCGGACAUCACCUGGAGAUCGAGCUGGACCCCCAGAGUCGCAGCCAUGGACCGCGGGCCUCGGCCCCAACUCGUCCCUGAGAUGUCCCUGCCCACAGCCCCCUCACCGCCCGCAGGAGGCCCUGGCGAGUUACCACGCAGAGCCUGCGGCGUGUACACCGCGCAGAAGCCGCCUCCCACGGAGCCACUCUACGCCCCUUGGACGGGAUCGCGUGAACAGCCUGUCAGACCUGAGCCACAUUUCUCCUGCAGGGCUGUCUGUUUACUUAACUGGCACGUGCCGCUCGUAAGGCAGCUUCCCCUUUGCCUUACUGCUUUGGUGGUGGGGGAAUGCUAAGCCAGGGACUUUAGUCCAGGUUUUUGCAAUUAUUCAUGGCCCAUGACUGGUAUCAUUCAUUGCAAAGGCAAGGCGGGGGAGGUGGUACGUAUGCCAGUGAGCGGGAUGGGUGUGGGGUGGGGGAGGUGGGUACCUAUGCCAGUGAGCACCCUUCUUCACCAUUCCCUUUGAGGUGAGAACCUACUGGUUUGGGUAGGAAAAAAAGGUUGAGAACUUCUACUUUCUCAACACCUCAGCUUUUCUUAUACUUCUAUUUUCAAUUAUAUAUUUUCCUUUUAUUUCAUUGUGUCAAAUGCAGUAUUUAAAAACCCUCCAAAUUUGUUGUGAAAUAAGAUAUAAAUAGGAGAAGGAAGGGGGGAAGGAAAUAAAGCCAUUUCUGGAAAGGCAAUAUUUGCCACUUUUACAGGUGUAUUUAAUUGUCCCUGUCUAGCCCAAGGUGAAGAUUUCUGCAACAUCCCAAGGAUAUUCAUGCCCAUCAGAAAUUGGGAAUGUCUGACCUUUGCGACCUAGCUACUGAUGUAUGCACAGCUCUAGAAAUUCAUUUAAAAUUUACAAAAUACACAGAAAUCUGUUGCAUUCCUUACACUAAUGAUGAGCUAGCAGAAAGAGAAAUCAGGAAAACAGUUCCAUUCACAAUUGCAUCAAAAAGAAUAAAAUACCUAGGAAUAAACCUAACCAAUGAAGUGAAAGACAUACCCUGAAAACUACAAGACACUCAUGAGAGAAAUUAAAGAGGACACUAACAAAUGGAAACUCAUCUCAUGCUCUUGGCUAGGAAGAAUUAAUAUUGUCAAAAUGGCCAUCCUGCCUAAAGCAAUAUACAGAUUCAAUGCAAUUCCUAUCAAAAUACCAAUGACAUUCCUCAACAAACCAGAAUAAAUAUUUCUAAAAUUCAUAUGAAAGCACAAAAGACCCAGAAUAGCCAAAGCAAUCCUGAGAAGGAAGAAUAAAGCAGAGAGAAUUAUGCUCCCUGACUUCAAGCUCUACUACAAAGCCACAGUAAUCAAGACAAUUUGGUACUGGCACAAGAACAGACCCACAGACCAGUGGAACAGAAUAGAGACUCCAGACAUUAACCUAAAUAUAUAUGGUCAAGUAAUAUAUGAUAAAGGAGCCAUGGACAUACAAUGGGGAAAUGACAGCCUCUUCAACAACUGGUGUUGGCAAAACUGGACAGCUACAUGCAAGAGAAUAAAACUGGAUCACUGUCUAACCCCAGACACAAGAGUAAACUCGAAAUGGAUCAAAGACCUGAAUGUAAGUCAUGAAACCAUAAAACUCUUAGAAAAAAACAUAGGCAAAAGUCUCCUGAAUAUAAACAUGAGCAACUUUUUCCUGAACGCAUCUCCUUGGGCAAGGGAAACAAAAGCAAAAAUGAACAAGUGGGACUACAUCAUAAUAAAAAGCUUCUGUACAGCAAAGGACACCAUCAGCAUCCUACAGUAUGGGAGAAUAUAUUUGUAAUCCGACAAGGGGUUAACAUCCAAAAUAUAUAAAGAAUUUACAUGACUCAACACCCAAAAAGCAAAUAACCUGAUUAAAGAAUGGGUGGAGGAUAUGAACAGACAAUUCUCCAAACAAGAAAUUCAGAUGGCCAACAGGCACAUGAAAAGAAUGCUUUACAUCGCUAAUCAUCAGGGAAAUGCAAAUGAAAACCACAAUGAGGUAUCACCUCACCCCAGUUAGGAUGGCCAACAUCAAAAAGACUAGGAACAACAAAUGCUGGCAAAGAUGCAGAGAAAGGGGAACCCUCCUACACUGUUGGAGGGAAUGUAAAUUAGUUCAACCAUUGUGGAAAGCAAUAUGGAGGUUCCUCAAAAAACGAAAAAUAGAAAUACCAUUUGAACCAGGAAUUCCACUCCUAGGAAUUUACCCAAAGAAAACAAGUUCUCAGAUUAAAAAAGACAGAUGCACCCCUAUGUUUAUCGCAGCACUAUUUGCAAUAGCCGAGAUAUGGAAGCAACCUAAGUGUCCAUCAGUAGAUGAAUGGAUAAAGAAGAGGUGGUACAUAUACGCAAUGGAAUAUUAUUCAGCCAUAAGAAGAAAACAAAUCCUACCAUUUGCAACAACAUGGAUGGAGCUAGAGGGUAUUAUGCUCAGUGAAAUAAGCCAGGCGGAGAAAGACAAGUACCAAAUGAUUUCACUAGUGUGGUGACCAAAGGGAAGGAGUGAGGGAGGGAAGGUGG